UAAUUAUACCGUAAAUUUAACUGUUAUUCUAAAGGGGUACAGCCCUUUAGACUAAGGAUACAACCUUAAUUAGAGAGUAAAAUAUAUUUACAUCCAUAGUUGGCCUAAAAGCAGCCAUCAAUUAAGAAAGCGUUCAAGCUCAACAAUAACUAACCCCUUAAUUCAACAAUUCCCUAUUAACUCCUAAUUUUCUACUGGACUAAUCUAUUAAUUAAUAGAAGAAAUACUGUUAAUAUGAGUAACAAGAUUCAUAUCUCCCAGCACAAGCUUAUGUCAGAUCAAAUAAUAACUGAUAGUUAACAGCCAAAUAAAUAUAAACUUAUAUAAACCAUUUAUUAAUUUACUGUUAAUCCAACACAGGUGUGCAUAAAGGAAAGAUUAAAAGAAAUAAAAGGAACUCGGCAAACACAAACCCCGCCUGUUUACCAAAAACAUCACCUCUAGCAUAACUAGUAUUAGAGGCACUGCCUGCCCAGUGACAAUCUGUUAAACGGCCGCGGUAUCCUGACCGUGCAAAGGUAGCAUAAUCAUUUGUUCCUUAAAUAGGGACUUGUAUGAAUGGCCACACGAGGGUUUAACUGUCUCUUAUUUCUAAUCAGUGAAAUUGACCUUUCCGUGAAGAGGCGGAAAUACCUUAAUAAGACGAGAAGACCCUAUGGAGCUUUAAUUGACCUAAUCCAACAGAACAAAACUUAACUCCGUCAAGGACUAACAAAUAUUCUAACUGGAUUAUAAAUUUCGGUUGGGGUGACCUCGGAGCACAAAACAACCUCCGAAAAGUGUCUACUAAGACCUACUAGUCAAAGUAAAACUUCAUAAAUUGAUCCAGUCUUACUGAUCAACGGAACAAGUUACCCUAGGGAUAACAGCGCAAUCCUAUUCUAGAGUCCCUAUCGACAAUAGGGUUUACGACCUCGAUGUUGGAUCAGGACAUCCCAAUGGUGCAGCAGCUAUUAAUGGUUCGUUU
rnacentral:rRNA from 1 species